rnacentral:rRNA from 1 species
AUUGAACGCUGGCGGCAGGCCUAACACAUGCAAGUCGAGCGAGUGGCGGACGGGUGAGUAAUGUCUGGGAAACUGCCCGAUGGAGGGGGAUAACUACUGGAAACGGUAGCUAAUACCGCAUACCAUCGGAUGUGCCCAGAUGGGAUUAGCUAGUAGGUGGGGUACCGGCUCACCUAGGCGACGAUCCAUAGCUGGUCUGAGAGGAUGACCAGCCAAACUGGAACUGAGACACGGUCCAGACUCCUACGGGAGGCAGCAGUGGGGAAUAUUGCACAAUGGGCGCAAGCCUGAUGCAGCCAUGCCGCGUGUAUGAAGAAGGCCUUCGGGUUGUAAAGUACUUUCAGCGGGGAGGCGUUACCCGCAGAAGAAGCACCGGCUAACUCCGUGCCAGCCGCCGCGGUAAUUC